rnacentral:lncRNA from 1 species
CCAAAAGGUGGAGGCAGCCCGAGUGUCCAUCGAUGGAUGAAUGGAUACACAAAUGCGCUAUAAACAGACAAUGGAAUAUUAUUCUGCCUUAAAAAGAAAGGAACUUCUGACACGUGCUACAACAUGAGUGAAACUUGAAGAUGGUAAGUUAAAUGAGCCAGACAGAAAAGGACGAAUACUGUAGGAUCCCACUUAUAUGAGGUACCUAAAAUAGUCUAAUUCAUAGAGACAAAGUACAAACCAUUUUUAACGUAAGAUGGCUUGACUUAUGGUUUUUUUACUUUACAGUGGUGAAAAAUCAGUAUGCAUUCAGUAGCAACUGUACUUUGAGUACCCAUAUGAUAUGGUUUGAAUUCUCACCUUGAAUUGUAAUAAUCCCCACAUGUCAAGGGUGGAGAUAACUGAGUCAUGGGGGCAGUUUCCACCAUACUGUUCUCAUGAUAGUGAAUAAGUCUCAUGAUAUCUGAUGGUUUUAUAAAUGGGAGUUUGCCUGCACAAGCUCUGUCUUGCCUGCCUGCCUUGCCUGCCUGCCGCCAUGUAAGAUGUGACUUUGCUCCUCCUUUGCCUUCUGCCAUGAUUGUGAGGCCUCCUCAGCCAUGUGGAACUGUGAGUCAAUUAAACCUCUUUCCUUUAUAAAUUACCCAAUCUCCCAUAUGUCUGUAUCAGCAGUGUGAGAACACACUAAUACACCAUAGAACCAUUCUGAGCAUUUACUGAGCACUUACUAUUAGAGCUUCUCACUUUUAGUACAGUAUUUAAUACAUUACGUGGGAUAUUUUGUACUUUAUUGGAAAAUAAGCCUUAUGUUAGGUGAUUUUGCCCAACUGUAGGCUACUGUGAGUGUUCUGAGCACGUUUAAGGUAGGCUGGGCUAAGCUGUGAUGUUCAGUAGGUUAGGGGCAUGGAAUGCAUUGUCAACUUUCUGUGGGUUUAUCUGGACCUAACCCCAUCAUAAGUCAAGGAGCAUCUGUAGAAUGGUGGUUUUUCAGGAGCUAGGGGAAGGGGAAUGGGAAAAUGUUGUUUAAUGACUGUGGAGUUUCAGUUUUACAAGAUGAAAAGUGUUCUGGAGUGUGGCUGCACAAUGGUGUGGAUGUUCUUAACACUGCUGAAGAGGACACAUACAAAUGAUUAAGAUGCAUAUAAAUCUCUCGGAGGCAGAAAACAUGUCUGAAAUCUACAGCAUGUAGAUUUCAUACAGGGCACAGUGGUUGACCAGUAAUGAGUUCCUGCAGGAGGGGACCCUUCCAGUGAAUGUAGACCUGGAAAAUGAGAUUGUCCUAUUUAUUCCUCUGAAUAUUCCCCAGCAUCUAUCACAGUGCUCUUUAUAAACUCAGCCCUCACGGAACCCUAAAAGCUGGCUAAGGGGCCAUUCUCCUCGCCACCUGGGCCUGCGUCUGCCGAAUCGCUUCCUAAGGACUUUGACUAGAAACCAAAGGUCCCAUUUUUCAUCUGCCAUUUAUUUAUCAUUGCAUAACUUAGUGAAAGCAUAUUGACUUUCCUGACUUCUUAUGACCACAUUUGAGGAAAGGAGUAAGCACUGGAAUCACCAACACAGCAUGCUUACGGAGGGUGGUCACCAGCUUCAUCAGCCUCCCAAUUCCACGGAGCCCCUUGAAAAUCCAGGAGCGCAGACUGGCAACAGUAGAGAUUUAAUAGGAGUUUACUGGAGGUUAUACUCCAGUCAAAGAAGAUGGAAACCAAGAAAGGACACAUUUUGGAGAUUAGCACUGGCUCCAGGAACCCAGUGAACAGAAGACUCAGGCUGAAGGCUUGUGCAUUCAGCCCAGAGAAAAUCCACUUAAAUUCAGAACAAUUAAGGACUCUGGGGAAGAAGGACUUCACAUGGUAGUGUGAUUGGAAGGCAGAUAAAUUUUAGGACACAAUGGAAGUUCCUAAGAUUUUUUAUCCUUUUCCAAUAGGAAGGAUAAAAAAAUCAUCUAAAACUAGAGGAAAAAUCAUCUAAAACAAGGUAUAAAGAAAUGGCUCACGUGUGACCCUUAUUUUACUGUGACAUGGAGCAUUUGAUGAAGGAUGUGGGAAGGGAGCCUGCUUAACUAUGAAGUGAGUAGCAUCGCCCCAGGAGCACCAUGACAGAUGCACAGGACAUGGAGGGAAGGAAAUGGCAUCCUGGCACAGCCCUGGCUCUACAUUGAGCAAUGUAGACAAAAUCAUAAAGGCUGCUCUAGUUUUCUACUUUUAGAAUCAACCUACAGACAUGUAAGACUUAAUUGUAGUUGUAGAAUAAAAGAUAAAAGAUUAUUGGCUUUCAUAACAAUAAAGUCCUAACAAUGAUUCACAGUUAUUCCAUGAAUAAGGGUAGGGGAAAAGAGGGAGGAAUGUAAGGCAUUUUAUAUGGAGCAAGGGAGGCAAAAGACGUUGACAGAGGCUUAUGGAACAACACACACACGCACACAAAUAGAAGGAAUAUAUUGCUUAAAAUGACAAAAAUAGCCAACAUAGGCUGGGUGCGGUGGCUCAUGCCUGUAAUCCCAGCACUUUGGGAGGCUGAGGCGGACGGAUCACUUGAAGCCAGGAGUUCAAGACCAGCCUGGCCAACAUGGUGAAACCCCGUCUCUACUAAAAAUACAAAAAUUGACUGGGCGCAGUGGUGUGCAUCUGUAGUUCCAACUACUUGGGAGGCUGAGGCAGGAGAAUCACUUGAAUCCGGGAGGCGGAGGUUGCAGUGAGCCGAGAUCACGCCACUGCAUCCUAGCCUGGGUGACAGAGUGAGACCGUCUGAAAAAGAAAAAAGCCAACAUAGGAAUUUUUAAAAUAAUAUAUAAUUACCAAAAAUUGGGGAAAAUAGAGACAGGGAAGGCAGUUCUAUAAGCGAGAUAAAUCUUUAUCUUUUGUAUCAGAAAGUCAAUAAAUAUUGUCUGAAUUUGAUUGGUUAUUUCCAUUUUUAUGAAAUGUCUACAAUAGGCAAAUCUAUAGAACCAGUAAAGAAAUUAGGAAUUCCUGUGGCUGGGACUGAAGAGUGAAAUCACUGCAAGUGGUCAAGAGGGAUCUUCUGAAGUGAUAGGUGUGUUCUAAAAUUGGGCUGUGGGGAUGCUUGCACAACUCUGUAACUUUGCUAAAAUUCAUUUCAUUACACAUUUAGUGAGUUUUAUGAUAUGUACAUUACCCAUCAAUAAAGCUGUGUUAAAAAAAAGGCUGA